CUGAAUACAUGUUUGUUUUAUUUGUCUAUAUCCUAGAUUCGCAGCUGGACACAUCCUUCUACACUGUAUGCAAACAUGCAACAUCAUUACACACAGUACAAAGAGUCAGACUGGCAUAUGAGGAGCAAAGGAACCCAGGCAGUAGCAUCGUUUCACAAUGUUUCCAUCAUCAUCAUCAGUGGAUGCCUUUGCCGUCCGUAGCCUGAGAUUUCAGAUUUGCAGCAAAAAAAAAUUGAUUUUCUCAUUUAUUGGAAUGCUGUGCAGGUAUUUGUACCUUGCAGCCAUCCAUUACAAUGUCACCAAGCCGUAACAAAAGCAGGAGAGGGAAAGUACAAGGCUAUGUUCCCAAAACACACAAGUGACAUACCUUAUGUGGAUGAUGUGAUCAGGCUUGUGUUUGAUGAGGUAUUUGAAGAUAAGCUGAAGGAAACCCCGAUUCCAAUGGACCUGGCAUCACAGUUUGAGAGACCUUCAAAGGAGGACGUGAUUGCAUGCCAUCUUCAGUGCAGGGGUCGUCGAAAGCCAAAAUUGUGACCGAUCUGAACAGGAAGCUCCAAGCAUAUCUGGAGAACAACACACGACAGGAUGAUAACCUUAUAGUGUCAUCUUAAAUAGCACCAGCUGACAAAGCUUUGAUAUGCCAUUUAUCUGAAUAGAUAGCUGUAAGAAAUGAAUUGAACAAUUUUUGAAACAAG